UCGACGAUCUUUCAUCUGACAAAUUCAAUAUUGAUAUCGAGCCACAACCUCAAGGCCGUGACGUGGUUAGUACUAAUAAGUUGAUCACAACAAAUAUUGAGUCACAACCUAAAAUUUCAAGUUAUGUCGAAAAGAUGACUAGGAAAUUCGCAAAAGAUAUUGAGCCGCAACCUCAAGCCACAGAUUACCGCGAGGGCGUCAAGCCAACUAAGUUUACAAAAGAGACUAAGUCGCAACUUCAAUUUUCGGGUUUUGACGGAAAUAGCAAGAAGUUUACCGAAGAUAUCGAGCCUCAACAUCAACUUACGAAUUAUCGCAACGACAUCCAUCCAAAUGAGUUUACAAAAAGUAUCAAGCCGGAAUUUCAAGUCACGGUUCAUGGCAAUGGCAAUAAGUUUACAAAUGAUAUUGGGUCGGAACCUCAAGUUUCGGAUUACCGCAACGUGAUCAACCCAAACAAAUUCCCAAAGGGUACAAUCGAGCCACAACCUCAAAUCAUAACUUAUGGCAACGGUAAAAAAUUUACAAACGAUAUCAAGCCGCACCCUCAAGUUACAGAUUACCGCAACCACAUCAAACCAAACAAGUUCACAAAGGGUAUUGAGCCACAACCUCAAGUUACAGACUACCGCAACGUCGUCGAACCAAACAAGUUCACAAAGAGUAUCAAGCCACAACCUCAAGCGACAAGUUAUGGCAAUAUCAAAAUCUUCACAACAGAUAUCGAGCCGCAACCUCAAGUUUCAAAUUACCGCAACGAGAUCCGUCGGAGCAAGUUGGUGAUGGAAUCUUGAAGUCGAUGUGGUUUAGUUCACUUUUUACCUAUGGUCUUUUGUCGGUUGGAGUGUAAGAAAAAUAAGGUCAAGUAAUUUCAUCCUGAUUAUGUACUUGUAAUGCUAUUUUAGAAAGCAAUUAUAGCUUUCUACUCUAUUUGUACAACUUUUUUAAAUACGACAAUAAAACGCUCUUAGUUAUUAUUCAGAAUACAAGUAAACUUAAAAAAAGAGACGUCAAUCAAA
rnacentral:lncRNA from 1 species